AGAGAGAGACAUGCGCGCAUAUCAAUAAGCGGAGGAAAAGAAACUAACAAGGAUUCCCUUAGUAACGGCGAGUGAAGCGGGAAGAGCUCAAAUUUGAAAUCUUCAAGGUUUUACCUUGACGAAUUGUAGUUUAAAGAAGCGUUUUCUGCUGAAGUUUUGGUAAAAGUUCUUUGGAAUAGGACAUCAUAGAGGGUGAGAAUCCCGUAUUUGACCAUUAUUUUCAGCUUUAUGAUACACUUUCAAAGAGUCGGAUUGUUUGGGAAUGCAGUCCAAAAUGGGUGGUAAAUUUCAUCUAAAGCUAAAUAUUGGCGAGAGGACCGAUAGCGAACAAGUACCGUGAGGGAAAGAUGAAAAGAACUUUGAAAAGAGAGUUAAACAGUACGUGAAAUUGUCAAAAGGGAAGCGUUUGACACCAGUGUUGUUUUCUCGAAAAUCAAUUAAAAAUGGCUCGAUUUUGUAUUGCCGAGACCUUAAAAGCUCACUGUACAUUUUUCGUGUCUUUUUUAAUGCACUUUUCGUUUAACAAGUCAACAUCAGUUUCUUUUGUUGUAAAAGGGUCAUUGGAAGGUGGCUUUCUUUUCGGAGAAAGUGUUUAUAGCCUUUGGCCUCUGCAAUCGAAGAGACUGAGGUCUGCAGCGUAGACUCUUCGGGGUUAGAUACAUUUGUGCUAAGUUAUAGCUUUUUAUAGACAACUUGUUGACUAUAAUUAGUCUUGUAGCUUACUCGCUUAUGCUAUUUUACCUACGCUUAGGAUGUUGAGUCGUAGAGCACGCA
rnacentral:rRNA from 1 species